UACGUAGGGGGCGAGCGUUGUCCGGAGUUACUGGGCGUAAAGGGCAUGUAGGCGGUCUGCCAAGUUCGGAGUGACAGUCACCAGCUUAACUGGUGAAGUGCUUUGAAAACUGGCAGACUUGAGAGCGAAAGAGGGACACGGAAUUCCGGGUGGAGCAGUGAAAUGCGUAGAGAUCCGGAGGAACACCACAGGCGAAGGCGGUGUCCUGGCUCGUUUCUGACGCUCAGGUGCGAAAGCUAGGGGAGCGAACGGG
rnacentral:rRNA from 1 species